rnacentral:rRNA from 1 species
CGUUUGAUGAAUUCAUAGUCAAACGAGGCGAACCGGGGAAACUGAAACAUCUCAGUACCCCGAGAAAAAGAAAUCAACCGAGAUUCCCCCAGUAGCGGCGAGCGAACGGGGAGCAGCCCAGAGUCAACAUCAAUAUUUACCACAGGAGAAGGGUCUGGAAAAGCCGGCAAUAAAGGGUGAUAGCCCCGUAUCUAAAGCGGUAAGUGUUGUGAACUCGAAGAGUAGGGCGGGACACGUGUUAUCCUGUCUGAAUAUGGGGGGACCAUCCUCCAAGGCUAAAUACUCCUGACUGACCGAUAGUGAACCAGUACCGUGAGGGAAAGGCGAAAAGAACCCCGGCGAGGGGAGUGAAAUAGAACCUAAAACCGUGUACGUACAAGCAGUAGGAGCACCCGAAAGGGUGUGACUGCGUACCUUUUGUAUAAUGAGUCAGCGACUUAUAUUCUGUAGCAAGGUUAACCGCAUAGGGGAGCCGUAGGGAAACCGAGUCUUAACUGGGCGUUAAGUUGCAGGGUAUAGACCCGAAACCCGGUGAUCUAGCCAUAAGCAGGUUGAAGGUUGGGUAACACUAAUGGGAGGACC